GUUUUAGUGAACAAUAACAACAACCAUUUAGAAAGUCAUAAGGGUGAGUAAAUGACAGAAUUGGGUGAACUGUCUCUUUAAAUGCGCCCAAUAAAGACGGCAGUCCGGCUAAAAAACCAGCAGCGACAACGCCACAUAUGCUGGUUACUUGGGGUUUUUCAGCAGACAGUUCAAUUAACUUUAUCAUCCGCAGAGCUGCAGGAGAGACGACCACCACAACAGCAGCAGCAACAGCUAAACAAGCGUCCAGGGGCAUACGCUCAUGAUGCUAUCCAAAGCAAGAAGGUGUCGUGGCCUAUGAAAUUCGGCUCUCCGGACUGGACAAAAGUGCCAAUGCUGGAGAGAAGAGCACUGCGGACAGAGACUCUCCUGGGAUCCUCCGACCUCUCCUCCCUUGGUGUGGCCUGAACUCUGACACAUAACAUUCUUGAACUUCUCUCAAUCUAUCCCUCAGCAAGGCUAUCUAACCAUCAGUGUGAGGCAAGGGAAAACUCCACGACCCUCACAGCUGUGACAACACACGCCUUCGUGGGGCCAACACCAGAAAACACCCUGCUGCAGUGGUUGGAAGUGUGGAUAUAUAUGUGUGUGUUUAAUCUCUGACUUCUUGUGUCACACAAUCCCCCAACACACACACAUACAUACACUGCAUUUUCUACUGGAAAAACAGAUAUAGGUCUCUAAGUGUUUUAAAGAUCGGUGAGCAAAGGUAAAUGGUCAACAAAAAAGAAAGAAUUACAAUUUUAGACCCAAUAAUGAGCAUUAUUUCGCAGCUCUCUGGAAUAAUUGAUUCUGAUUGGUCAUGCGUGACAUUCCAAGGUUUGUUAUUCUGUGAUAACAAUGACCUAGAUGUACUUUUCCCA
rnacentral:lncRNA from 1 species